rnacentral:sRNA from 1 species
GGAAAACUUACACUACUCUCUCCGUCGUCCUCCUACUUUACCAUUUUAUGGUCUACAGCGCAUGCGGUGAACCCUCAAAUGCAAACUGCGGACUCCUCGUCUUGUCAUUCACCCUGAUCAUCAUGUCAGCCAUGCCCGAUCCUAGCGCUCGGAUAGCAAGACUUACUCAAUGAUGACCCUUCCAACCUCUUUUUCCUGCGGUGGUUCGUACCCGAAGCUCAUUGGAUCUGCUCUUCUCGCAUCCCGCGGUAAUCUCUCCAAGAUUCUCACCGUUGUCGUUUCUCCCACCGCUCUUAAUGGCGGAACACCCCAAAGUUCCAGCUCUCUUGCAUCAAAGUGUAACCACGUCGGCAAACUUCCGCCACCUUCAACUUCUGCACGGUAAGUUGAUGGAGGGUUGGAUGACCAGGUCGCGGCUGAAAGAGAUACGGUCGGAGGCGGGUGAAUGGCGGGGUGCAUGGAGAAUGUUUCGUUGGAUGCGGCGUAAACUCGUCCGUCGUUUGCCCCGGUACUGACUCCAGCGUUGCUGCCCGAAACUAAUCGAGCCGAUCCCUGGGAACCAGAGGUGGAGCUAGCAGUGUUGGUACGACGAUGGCGGAUAAAAGAGCUUGCUUGAGGUAAGGAUGGUGAGAGAGGGUUCUCACGGAAGGGCACGGCACGAAUAGUAGACGCUCGAGCGGUAGAUUCUGAAGGGACAUUAGAGCUACGCUGAGAUGUGUAGCCUUUGCCGUCUUCCAGUUCUGCGCCCAGUCCUUCGAUAUGAGGUUGGGGAGAGCCAAAGUAGAUGACAGAAUUGGGGUAACCGAGACCAGUGUUGGUGGCAAUCAUAGAACGACGAGACGCCUCCUCUGCAUCAUCAAACAUCCCGCUCGUGGCCUGGCUAUCACGAGUAGCUCGAUCAGUGAUUAGGAUGCGAGGACUGUCCUGGCGGUUGUCAAAGCUAGUUCGAUGAGCUGUGGACACGACAGCUGGCUCUUCGCUUUCAGCCUCUGUAUCACUUGACUUGAAUCCGGUACUCUCCCCAAUUCGGCUCAAUGUGCUCCUACCAAAUCCCAAAGAACCCGAGCCAGAGCGAGAGUGCAUCUGUGACUGAGUGUGAAAGACUGAACCGGUACCCAUCAUCGAGUUUUCAUCAAAGCCGGAGGUGACGUCAAAGUUGGAACCACUCUGGAAAGAGUCUCGAAUGCCGUCAUAAGAAGAAUCAAAUUCGCUAAAUGAAUCAUGAGAACUGGCAUCAUCACCCGUCAAGCGAGCGAGAAUAGCAGGAGAUUGGUGGCGGGGAUACUUGGGAGUGAAGUCGGCUCGAGGACGGGGAAUACUGUCCGCUGUUGGCAUUCUAACGUUGCCUACUACCGCACCCAAGGAUGCUCUUUCAACAUCUUCACCUUGUGAUCCAAAUCUUCUUGAUCCUUCACCUGUACCUUCACCGGAAGACCAUUGGAAAGUUGACUUGCUUUGCCAACUUGCUCUUGAGCUAGUAGACAUCAUAGAUCUGGUGUCAGAGCUCAUAUCUGCCCUUGAUUCAUCAAUGGGAUCUUCCGUGGCGAUGACGUCUGGGUAACCAACAAAGUCCUGAGAGAAAUCAGGGUUCUGGGCCAGGUGCUCUUCACCAUUUUCGUCCCAAUGGAUGAUACCCUUCAUUCCGUCCAUACGGUGAGGCUUCUCGACGGCAGUGGCAUUGCUACUGAGCGAGGCCGGGCUUCUAUUAGUGACAGCCGUAGUGUCAGAGUAGCCGAUGGUGCUGACAGGAGCACCUUGAGUAUGAGCAAGACCGUAGCUUCUACGGAAGGGGUCGCCCAAGUCAGGAGCCGAUGCACGAGGCCCUUUCUCAUCUUCCUCCUCGUUCUUAUUAUUUCGACGGCGGCGACAACAGAAGAACCAGAGAAGCGCAAGAAGGAUGAGCAGCCCCAGGAUACCAAAAACGACACCGAGCGCAAUUUUACCGCCUGUGGAGAGACCGCCGUGAUGAGGAGUGUUCGAGCCGGUGGAAGUAGGAACAGCGGCCGUACCAGUGGAUUCGGACGUGUCAGAGAUACCAGUAAUGUUGGCACUGAGGGUAGUUGUAGCCGCAAGCUUGCCAACUACGGCCUCAAAGACAACUGACACUUGAUUGUACUUUGGACUGGUGGGCGCGGUGCCUUCCAGGGUCAAGUUUUCCGUGUGAAAAAUCAACCAGCUGGCAGCGUCCGUAGGUGUGACGGUGGCGUUGAUGUCGGCUGAACUGUUUGUACGGUACGGCGAAAUAUCGAAAGAAAUUUCUUUUGAAGGUGAAAUGGUGAUAUUUGGAAGGUUGUACGUGGAAAAGAAGUAAGGUGCGAUAUCGACGGAGAUCCAAGCUAUCACUGAGAGGGUGUUGGACGAGUUGCUUGACGCGAUGUUCAGGGGAAUCGAAAGAGGGGUGGUUGUACCAUUUUGAUAAGAGUCGGGGACGGUACCAGACAACACAUUGGCGUCGCUAUAUACCUAUUAGACGCGUACAAAAUAACUAUAAGAUACUCACCUGUUAAAGGAUAGCCAAUCGUAUUCAUCACUAGCCAUCGUGAUAUACAAUUCAUC